rnacentral:rRNA from 1 species
AUUGAACGCUGGCGGCGGGCCUAACACAUGCAAGUCGAGCGGAUGAAGGGAGCUUGCUCCUGGAUUCAGCGGCGGACGGGUGAGUAAUGCCUAGGAAUCUGCCUGGUAGUGGGGGAUAACGUCCGGAAACGGGCGCUAAUACCGCAUACGUCCUGAUGGAGAAAGUGGGGGAUCUUCGGACCUCACGCUAUCAGAUGAGCCUAGGUCGGAUUAGCUAGUUGGUGGGGUAAAGGCCUACCAAGGCGACGAUCCGUAACUGGCCUGAGAGGAUGAUCAGUCACACUGGAACUGAGACACGGUCCAGACUCCUACGGGAGGCAGCAGUGGGGAAUAUUGGACAAUGGGCGAAAGCCUGAUCCAGCCAUGCCGCGUGUGUGAAGAAGGUCUUCGGAUUGUAAAGCACUUUAAGUUGGGAGGAAGGGCAGUAAGUUAAUACCUUGCUGUUUUGACGUUACCAACAGAAUAAGCACCGGCUAACUUCGUG